GACAGCAGUCGCCGCGGUAAUACGGAGGGUGCAAGCGUUAUCCGGAUUUAUUGGGUUUAAAGGGUCCGUAGGCGGACUUAUAAGUCAGUGGUGAAAGCCUGUCGCUUAACGAUAGAACUGCCAUUGAUACUGUAAGUCUUGAGUAUAUUUGAGGUAGCUGGAAUAAGUAGUGUAGCGGUGAAAUGCAUAGAUAUUACUUAGAACACCAAUUGCGAAGGCAGGUUACCAAGAUAUAACUGACGCUGAGGGACGAAAGCGUGGGUAGCGAACAGGAUUAGAUACCCCCGUAGUCCCUGUCUCUUAUAC
rnacentral:rRNA from 1 species